AGAUUGAACGCUAGCGGGAUGCUUUACACAUGCAAGUCGAACGGCAGCGCGGACUUCGGUCUGGCGGCGAGUGGCGAACGGGUGAGUAAUAUAUCGGAACGUGCCCAGUAGCGGGGGAUAACUACGCGAAAGCGUGGCUAAUACCGCAUACGCCCUACGGGGGAAAGGGGGGGAUCGCAAGACCUCUCACUAUUGGAGCGGCCGAUAUCAGAUUAGCUAGUUGGUGAGGUAAAGCUCACCAAGGCGACGAUCUGUAGCUGGUUUGAGAGGACGACCAGCCACACUGGGACUGAGACACGGCCAGACUCCUACGGGAGCAGCGAGUGGGAAUUUGGACAGUGGGGGAAACCUGAUCCGAGCCAUCCCGCGUGU
rnacentral:rRNA from 1 species